UGGCGGCGUGCCUAACACAUGCAAGUCGAACGAGAAAGUGGAGCAAUCCAUGAGUAAAGUGGCGAUCGGGUGAGUAACACGUGACUAACCUACCUCCGAGUGGGGAAUAACUCCGGGAAACCGGGGCUAAUACCGCAUAACAUCGCAAGAUCAAAGCAGCAAUGCGCUUGGAGAGGGGGUCGCGGCUGAUUAGCUAGUUGGCGGGGUAACGGCCCACCAAGGCGAAGAUCGGUAUCCGGCCUGAGAGGGCGCACGGACACACUGGAACUGAAACACGGUCCAGACUCCUACGGGAGGCAGCAGUGGGGAAUUUUGCGCAAUGGGGGAAACCCUGACGCAGCAACGCCGCGUGGAGGAUGAAGCCCUUUGGGGCGUAAACUCCUUUCGACCAAGACGAUAAUGACGGUACUGGUGGAAGAAGCACCGGCUAACUCUGUGCCAGCAGCCGCGGUAAUACAGAGGGUGCGAGCGUUGUUCGGAAUUAUUGGGCGUAAAGGGCGCGUANGCGGUGCCACAA
rnacentral:rRNA from 1 species